UUCCAUUCUUCUAAAUGGUUAAAGAUUUCAGAUGACUUGUAUUCACAACCAGUUUACACUGUCGUGUUCUUGUGACAUCUUUGACUCUUUAAAUCGCCUCUCUCUCUCCCCAUAUUAAAUCUCUUCCAUUCUGUCACCUCUUGGGUUUUCAUAUAGGACUGCCAAAACCUGCUCAGACUCAGUUUUGCAAAAAUAGCCAUGCCAUACUUGUCAUAAAAGAGGAUGUCUUUCCCCAGCCAGUCUUCUAACCCUUCUUAGCAACUUUUCCACUUCUCAGUAUUUUUUUUAACAUGCAUGAUUAGGAGUAUGCACAGUACUCCAGAUAAGGUCUCAUCAGGGCCUUUUAUGGUGUCAUGAAUACCUUCCUAUCCAUGCUAGAAAUACAGCAACUAAUAUUUUGGAGUGUUUUUAACUUUUUGAUUUUUUUCAGAGCUACAUCAUACCAGCAUCUCACAGUCCUUGAGGACUCACUGGAACAGUCAACUUACCCUUCUUUAUGGAUGUUGAUAGCAAAAGCUCUUACUCAUUCCUGAGUUUAUGACCUUGACCUGUGCACUAUUCUACUGGUAUUGCCUGACAAUGGUGUCAGGAUGCUUUCUUUUUGUAAGAAGAACGUCAUCAGUUUCAUUUAAGCCACAGGCUUCCUGUGAAAUUUUUGGCAUGUCCAGAUUUGUUCAGGGAUCUCUACACUUUGCACAACUAUAGACAUGAGCUUGUACAUGCAUGCGAUAUGGUGCUGGACUUUGCAGAUGAGCUGGCUGGCUUAGGUCAUGAAACAGAACUGUGUCUAGAAUUGCAUUUCCCGAGGCACCUCACAGUAUGUUAUUUCAGGUCUAUGGCUCCUGUCUAUUCUGUAAACAACAGUUCAUCAAGGGCUACAUCAGAUACGGAAAUUUCAUUCAAAAGGAGGUAAGACUGGUAAAAUACGUUGUCUUUUCUCUGAGGCAUUGCCAAACCUCAUUUCCCUUGUGUCCUUGGAUCAUCAUGCCUACAACACUUCAUUCAAAUUCAUUCACCAGAUAAUAAACACCAAAGCCAAAACCAAACUGUUUUUUGUCUUUUCACCUCUGUCUAAAGGAUUCACAGAGAGUCACUCACAGGAAUGAUGGUGAAACAUGGACUUUCUUGGUGUCUUUAGCAUGUGUACUGAGAAGGCCACAGAAAUAAGAGCCUCCAGAUCCCCCAAUUUACUGCUCCAGGAUUUUCAUGCUUCACUUCUAGUUCAGCCAAGAGCUGGUCGUGAUUUAGAGAUUUUACGAAGUCUAAAAGAAAUUCAGCAUAGCUAAACAACUUGUAAGGUUGCUACAAGUAUAAAGACAUCUUUUAAAAAGCUGAAGUUAUAUCCAAAUGAAGAAAAUAGGAAAGUAUAUCCAUCCAGCAGGUUAUAUAUGUAACAACACAGUUAAGUGUAUCAAAAGUGAGUUUGAAAAAGAAUUCAUGAGCUAGC
rnacentral:lncRNA from 1 species